CGAACCGUCAAACGUUAUUCGGAAUUAUUGGGCUUAAAGGGUAUGUAGGCGGCGCUGUUAGUCGGGUGUGAAAUCCCUCGGCUCAACCGAGGAAUUGCGCCCGAUACUGCAGUGCUUGAGGGAGACAGAGGUAAGCGGAACUGAUGGUGGAGCGGUGAAAUGCGUUGAUAUCAUCAGGAACACCGGUGGCGAAAGCGGCUUACUGGGUCUCUUCUGACGCUGAGAUACGAAAGCUAGGGGAGCGAAGGGGAUUAGAUACCCCCGUAGUCCUAGCUGUAAACGUUGAGCACUUGGUCGGGGAUCCCCUCAUAGGUUCUCGGCCGUAGCGAAAGUGCAAGUGCUCCGCCUGGGGAGUAUGGUCGCAAGGCUG
rnacentral:rRNA from 1 species